GUUUUGUACUGGCUGCCAUUUCUAUGUAGUGAUUUCCUAAAAGGAACACAUUUAAGUUUGGAUAUUUCAAGAUAUAGGCGAAACCUUAUAUUUUUUGUUUGAUUUUUGUCUCGUUUGUGUAAUUGAAUAGAUUAUUUUGGUGAAGAGAACAAACAAUUACAGAUGGUAUCGUGCUUCCCAUCAACGCCAAAAAAGCUGGCGAUAACAGUUGCAUACUUCAUUGGUGGAGCCUCGUUGUUUGCAUUUGGUUUGCAUCUUUCACAUGUAAAUGCUGCUCCUCAACAAGCUCGGAUCAAAGCUCGGAACGACUUUGUUAGAGAGAGAUUGAGAAAGAAAUACGGGGACACAAGUGUGCAGCCUAAAUGAGCAUCACGGUAUACCAUGCACUAACAAGUCUCAAGAUUUACGGGGGUCUUAGUUUGACUCGUGUUAUCAUGUUUGGUUAAUCUUAGAAAGAUUACUUUUAAGUAACUUAAAAGUAAGUUAUCCAAAGAUAUCUGCUAAAAAAGAGUUUUUUUUUUUUUUUUUUUUUUUUUUUUUUUUAAAGCUUAAUCAAACAUGCUUUAACAUGUAGAGAUUUUGAAAUUAUAUUAGCAGGGUGUACUUUUUUCUCCUGAUA
rnacentral:lncRNA from 1 species